CGCGUAGGCGGGAUAGUCCGUCUGUUGUAAAAGUGCGGGGCUCAACCCCGUAGAGCAAUGGAAACAGCUAUUCUUGAGUGCAGGAGAGGAAAGUGGAAUUCCCAGUGUAGCGGUGAAAUGCGUAGAGAUUGGGAAGAACACCAGUGGCGAAGGCGACUUUCUGGACUGUGUCUGACGCUGAGGCGCGAAAGCCAGGGGAGCGAACG
rnacentral:rRNA from 1 species